rnacentral:rRNA from 1 species
CCUACGGGAGGCAGCAGUGAGGAAUAUUGGUCAAUGGACGAGAGUCUGAACCAGCCAAGUAGCGUGAAGGAUGACUGCCCUAUGGGUUGUAAACUUCUUUUAUAUGGGAAUAAAACGUUCCACGUGUGGGAUUUUGUAUGUACCAUAUGAAUAAGGAUCGGCUAACUCCGUGCCAGCAGCCGCGGUAAUACGGAGGAUCCGAGCGUUAUCCGGAUUUAUUGGGUUUAAAGGGAGCGUAGGUGGAUCGUUAAGUCAGUUGUGAAAGUUUGCGGCUCAACCGUAAAAUUGCAGUUGAAACUGGCAGUCUUGAGUACAGUAGAGGUGGGCGGAAUUCGUGGUGUAGCGGUGAAAUGCUUAGAUAUCACGAAGAACUCCGAUUGCGAAGGCAGUUCACUGGACUGCAAUUGACACUGAGGCUCGAAAGUGUGGGUAUCAAACAGGAUUAGAUACCCGGGUAGUC